rnacentral:rRNA from 1 species
UGGGGAAUAUUGUGCAAUGGGGGAAACCCUGACACAGCGACGCCGCGUGAGCGAAGAAGGCCUUCGGGUCGUAAAGCUCAAUAGUAUGGGAAGAAGGAAGUGACGGUACCAUACGAAAGCCCCGGCUAACUACGUGCCAGCAGCCGCGGUAAUACGUAGGGGGCGAGCGUUGUCCGGAAUUACUGGGCGUAAAGAGCACGUAGGCGGUCCCUUAAGUCUGAUGUGAAAGCCCACGGCUUAACCGUGGAGGGUCAUUGGAAACUGGGGGACUUGAGUGCAGAAGAGGAGAGCGGAAUUCCACGUGUAGCGGUGAAAUGCGUAGAGAUGUGGAGGAACACCAGUGGCGAAGGCGGCUCUCUGGUCUGUAACUGACGCUGAGGCGCGAAAGCGUGGGGAGCAAACAGG